UGGGGAAUAUUGCACAAUGGAGGGAACUCUGAUGCAGCGACGCCGCGUGAACGAAGAAGGCUUUCGAGUCGUAAAGUUCUUUUAUAUGGGAAGAUAAUGACAGUACCAUAAGAAAAAGCCCCGGCUAACUACGUGCCAGCAGCCGCGGUAAUACGUAGGGGGCUAGCGUUGUCCGGAAUCACUGGGCGUAAAGGGUUCGCAGGCGGAAAUGCAAGUCAGGUGUAAAAGGCAGUAGCUUAACUACUGUAAGCAUUUGAAACUGCAUAUCUUGAGAAGAGUAGAGGUAAGUGGAAUUUUUAGUGUAGCGGUGAAAUGCGUAGAUAUUAAAAAGAAUACCGGUGGCGAAGGCGACUUACUGGGCUCAUUCUGACGCUGAGGAACGAAAGCGUGGGUAGCAAACAGG
rnacentral:rRNA from 3 species